AGCAAGAGGCCGGGACACUGCCCCCAGGACUGGCAGCAGCGGGGUGGGGCCCAGGGCCCGGAAUUCCAUUCCACUGGAGGUGGAAGCCGCACUGAGGCAGGGGAGGAAGGAGCUGGCAGACCAGGAAGAGCCACAAACAGCUGAGUCCUCCAUUCAGCAGGGGAUGGUUUUGGGGGAACUCGGAGGGGCUCAAUCCUGGCUCUGAUGCUGCUCACCGGCGAUGGCCGACCAGGUCUCUGGUCCGAGCGCCGCGUGACAACCGAGUGACUCCGCGGGGAGCGCUCAUCUCAAGCAGCUCCAAGGAUUUUCAGGUCCUUUUUGAAAUGCAGACCUGUUCAGGCCUGUGUGGCUGGCUCAGAACCCCUUAGGGUGUGGGAAGGCAGAGUCCUAGCCCGGGUCUCAGGUAUUUGGGGGGUGGGGGCAGAGGAAGGGGCAGGGGCGACGAAGCCGGGGGACCUCUGGGAGGACGGGGAGGGAGGGCCCGCUGGGGGGCUGUUUCCCGGAGGGGCCCAGCUUGGAAAUUCAGCUGAGGGCGGCUCAGGCCUGUCGGAGCAGGGUGUGCAUGUGCGUGUGCGCCCCGUACCCUGCCUAGGAGCGCGGCCAGGCUGCCCAGGAGGGGCCCACGACGCCCAACACGUCCGGAGACUCGGAUCCCGCCCUAGCCCCGUCCCAAGAGGCUGGCGGCACGCCGACCAGGGGAACGAAGGCCCUGUGUGUUUUCCACAACGUGCCGGAGCCAGCUCCGUGUGUCACCCUCCCGGCAUCUCAGCGAGCCCCGCAGCGGCUCCCCUCCCCCCGAGCACGUGCGGCUCCCUUCCGCCCCAGGCCCCGGCGAGAGUGCUCGACGGCCCGGGUCUCCAUUUCUCGCCGCGGUGUGCCCGGGGCCGCUCUCGGGGGAAGUCGGAAGAAGCAAAGCGAGGUAACUUACAAGAUUAA
rnacentral:lncRNA from 1 species